rnacentral:rRNA from 1 species
GGCAACGGAUAUCUCGGCUCUUGCAUCGAUGAAGAACGUAGCGAAAUGCGAUACUUGGUGUGAAUUGCAGAAUCCCGUGAACCAUCGAGUCUUUGAACGCAAGUUGCGCCCGAAACCUUUUUGGUCGAGGGCACGUCUGCCUGGGCGUCACACA